ACAUGCCUACAACAUAGCGGUAAUGCAUCAGAUUCCAUUAGAACUCCACAGUUAAGCGCACUUGGGCUACAGUAGUACUAGCAUGGGUGACCGCCUUGGAAGUCCUAGUGUUUUACAUGCC
rnacentral:rRNA from 1 species